CUCAGCGAGGUUCCAGGCAGGAAACGGGGGGCCAACUUUCCUGUCGCACAGACCUUCCCGCUGUCCUCGAGCAGCUCCCUCAGGGUCCCCCCCCUUACACGUCUGUGGGUUUGGGGGAGCAGGAGGGCACCGCAGUGUCUCCUCUCCCCGCUCCCAUUCUGCCCCAAGAGCAAGCAGCCUCCGGCCCGGGAACGCUCAGUUCCCCUCCCUCCCACUGCCGUCCCGUCGUGGCGACACAGCAGGGUGGUGGUAGGCCGAAGGGGACAGUGAGCUGUGCCAGGGCCGGUUGUGCCAUUUCUCUCAGUCCUUUUCUCUGAGCGGCUGCCGGAUUGCCAACUUGGAGCCCUUCUUCAGGGUGUGGGAGCCUCUGACGCUUCGGUGUCCGGCCGGGGGCUUUGCAGCGCGGGGCCCGCGGGAAGAGCACCCACGGCCGGUCCCCGCCUUCUUUCCUCGUCUCCACCGAACCUCUCUGGCUCUGCCCGCCCAGUUUCCAAAGGGAAAGGGCCGAGGUCUACAGCCGGUGGGACAGUUUUCCCCAAGGACGGUUCGGGUCCACAGAAUAUGACUAGAGUGCAAGGGAGUUCAAGAACCUCUCGUGAUGUCUCCAUGUCUCCCUGGGGUCUGGAGUCUACAGUUUGGAAAUCAUUGCUGGAGUCUCUUGUAUCCUGAAUCCAGGCCCGGCUUUCUCUCAACAGUGCUGUCCAGAUGGAGAGCCACGGAAAGCUUUCAAACAGGGGAACCGUGAUGGAAAUAAUUAUUCCACGUCUAUUUCAGUGAGCCUCCUUUCAGUGUGCCUUUGUGUGUAGCUGACUCUAAUAAAGCAAAAAACUACAUUUCCC
rnacentral:lncRNA from 1 species